AGUGGCGAACGGGUGAGUAACACGUGGAUAACCUACCUCAAGGUUGGGGAUAACAUUUGGAAACAGAUGCUAAUACCGAAUAAAACGUAGUAUCGCAUGAUACCAGGUUAAAAGGCGCUACGGCGUCACCUAGAGAUGGAUCCGCGGUGCAUUAGUUAGUUGGUGGGGUAAAGGCUUACCAAGACAAUGAUGCAUAGCCGAGUUGAGAGACUGAUCGGCCACAUUGGGACUGAGACACGGCCCAAAAUCC
rnacentral:rRNA from 1 species